UGGGGAAUUUUGCACAAUGGGGGAAACCCUGAUGCAGCGACGCCGCGUGAUUUAGAAGGCCUUCGGGUUGUAAAAAUCUUUUCUAUGGGAAGAAAAUGACAGUACCAUAGGAAUAAGGACCGGCUAAUUACGUGCCAGCAGCCGCGGUAAUACGUAAGGUCCGAGCGUUGUCCGGAAUCAUUGGGCGUAAAGGGUACGUAGGCGGGUAAGCAAGUUAGAAGUGAAAUCCUAUAGCUCAACUAUAGUAAGCUUUUAAAACUGCUCAUCUUGAGGUAUGGAAGGGAAAGUGGAAUUCCUAGUGUAGCGGUGAAAAGCGCAGAUAUUAGGAGGAAUACCGGUGGCGAAGGCGACUUUCUGGCCAUAACCUGACGCUGAGGUACGAAAGCGUGGGUAGCAAACAGG
rnacentral:rRNA from 1 species